GAUUCCACAAAUCCAUCUGUGUACACUCCCUCGUGCCUUGUCCAUAGAAGAGGCAUAACAGUAAUAGUUAUUACAGCUAGCAUUUAUAUAGGGCUCUAAAGUUUGCAAAGUAUCUCAAUUGAUCUUCACCUCAAUCCCAGGAGAUACUAGAUACUAUUAUUGUGCCCAUUUUAUAGUUAAGGAAACUGAAGUAAGCAAAGAUUAAGUGCCUUCCUUCUUCCAGAUCUUGUAGCGACUCUCUGAGGCUGGAUUUGAACUCAGCCUUCCCGAGUCUAGCCAGAAAGCUUUCUAUCCGCUGUACUAUGUAGCUGCUUAUUAAUGCUGUAAUUCAUGAAUGCUUCUGAACUGACUGAUGAUUAAUUGAUAUGAGUUCAUAGAUCCCCACUAGGUAAUGAGGACAACCUAACCUAGUUUAUGUGCAAAGAGCCCCAGGAGUACCUGAGUGAAGAGAAGAUGAGAAUUAGGACAUUCACAAACAGAGGCAAAGCGAAGCCACCCAAGGGGACAGCCGUGGAGAAAGUGGAUCUUUCUCCAUGUCCUGGCCACGUCCAUGAAUCACUGUGGUAGGUAAGGCAGAAGGAAGACUAUAUUUGGCAUCCGAAUACAAGAGUUCAAUGACUGACUCUGACAUCUGCUCUUUGAGUGAUCACGAACAUGAAGUCACAGAGGCACAAAGGAGGAUGACAUGGCUGGGAAUGGGGAGAGAGGCAUGAUGGAGGGAUUCCCUAGACCCGGGCAGCAGAGGUGAGACCUCUCAGGAGUGGCCCAAUGGUCCUGCCCAGGCUUCAGGUUGAGCAGAUGGCAGAAGUUCUGGGAGGUCAAUGCUUGGCAUCAUUGCAGUGUCUCAUUUCAUCUCAACAUCAACCCUGAACCAACAAGCAGUCAGCCUUCUUCAAGCCCACCCCUAGCAGAGGAAAACAAUGAACGAUGCUGCCAGGGACAGAUGGGCUACAGCAGUUCAGCAAAGGAAAGAACCGGGAGAAUUUGGGUACCAGAAGCAUUGGCAUCAAGAAAUAAAAAGAACAUAUUCUGCUAGUCAUCUGAAACUAAAAGGGGAAAUUGAAGAAAGAACGUGUCAUUUGUUGGAAUUUCCUCCAAUCCUGGAACAGGUCACAGAUCUAGAAUGGCCUGAGAAGGGCUCCUGGUCCUAAAAGAUGUGGUACACAGUAAAUAAGGAGCAGUCUCAAACAUUAGGCUCAGGCCUGAAGAAGGAUUAAGUUCAAAAGUCAGCAGUUCUGUGGCUCUGACACUACAAAUGAAUUUGAGUCUCAGUUUCAGCCUCCAGCUCAAUUUGAAACCUGCAUUGGAAUAACCAAAGCAGACAUCUUAGAACAAAGGUAAGACAGCACUUUUGUCAUUUUAAACCAGCAGAGCUUUCCAGUUUGUUAAUGGUGGCUGAAUCUAGCAGCAGUCUUCAGGAACUCCAACCAGGGGCAAGCCCAUAAAAGUAUUGCUCUCAAAACCAAACCCAAAUCAGGAACUCUCAGAACUCAAGUCAGGAACAAUGAUUAUAU
rnacentral:lncRNA from 1 species